ACCAGUACCUGGGGACAGAGGGACACACAGAAACACACAAAGAACGUGAGUCCGGCGACCGCAGCGCAGCGGCUCCGCCGCCCCGUCCCGUCCAGUCCCGUCCCGUCCCGUCACCGCCCGCCCGGCCCGGCCGGAGCGCCGGCUCCGCGCUCACCUGGGCGGAUUUCUUGCAGGGUCCGGACUGCAGGAACCGUGCGAUCAGAAAUGCCAAAUCCAGCUGUGGAUGGAACACCCAGGAAAAGGGGUGGCUCUGUGUCCCUGUGUGCUCUGGGCUCUGCCAGCAGAAGGACUGGGGGAAUGAUAUCAAUGUCAGGUCCAUCCUCAGCAUCUCUGAAUUCCAACUUUGUACCUCAAAGUGCCUGGAACCCCAUGUUUCACAGCAGCAAAAUUACUACUGGGUGUGCGUGAGCAGGUUUUUGCAUUUUUGGCUUCUGCUGGAAGCCUGGGCACAAAGCAUCUGACUGCAGCUGGGAAUUUAUCACGUCUCUCCCUGGACAUGCAAAUUUUACUGGAAUGCCCUCAGCUAAGAAACCAGAAGGAGUGGAUUAAAAGGAAUGAGGUUAUGUAGCAUGAAAGAAUACUCCAAAACAACUGUGGAGGAGGGAAGAGGAGUUUCUAACCCUGGAGAUGAAAGAAUAAAGGACCCUUGGCUGGAUGGUGACACUCAACCCAUGAAGAGACACCACUGUCAGUGACAGAACACAAGGGGCAAAGAGAGCCCUGGGAAAACACUGCUUCACUAUCAGCAAGGAAUCUGCUGGGACAAUCCCUCAGCAGCUGAUGGAGCAUGCAGCUGGACCUAGCAAAAGGCAGCUGAGGUAAGGAGCUGCCACAGCAAGGACCUGUGGGAAGAGGCUGCAGAUAAGAGGCAAGACCGAGUCUACUUUGCAAAUCCCUUGUUGAAUUGUUCUGAGCCAAAUAAUUGUUUUAAAGAAUUGUGUAGAACUCAAAACCAGAUUUCUGGCCCAGCACCAACCCGUGCUGAGCAGCAGAGGAACCCAGCAGUCCAGAGGGGAUGUGCAAAGUCAGCUCAGGGCUGGAGGGUGGUGAUGUCCCUGGGCUCCCCUGUUCCCCAGAUGUUGGGCAUUGCUGUGAGCCAGCCCUGAGAGGGACCAGGGCCAGCAGACAGCACCUGAACAAGGGCUCCAGCACAGGGCAGGAAGGAGCUGGAAGGAGAAGGCCAUUCCUGCAGGCUCUCCCUGGAAGCUGCCCUGGGCAGGUACCACAGCUGCUCUGUCCUCACAGUGUGGCAGUGACCCCCCCACCCUUGGAGCCCAGCAGAGCCCCUGCAGCUGUGCUUCCAGCACAUCUGGCUGUUCUCAGCUUCACUGGA